ensembl:lncRNA
GAAGGAAAGAGGGAGAUAUGUAACACCAGUCCGCAAGCCAUUCCACUUCAAGGGACCAACAAAAAAGGUUGAAUCCACAUUAGAGGGUUCUGUCGAAAAACAGAGUGAUAUCUCUGCACAACGCCCAAAGUCAUCCCUGGAAGAAAAGGCUGGAGCUUGUCUGAAAAGGCUCAGGAACUCCCAGAGAAAUCAAAAACCCCAGAGCAUCAAAUCUAUGAAUUGCAGCGGUCCUCCUUGAGGAAGAGAAAAGACACAGAGGUUGUGGUUUCAGUGCUUCCAACCCAAACGAAAGGACAACAUAUAAUCAUCCAUCACAGUGAGCUCCGUACUCUUCGCCCACACCAGUGCCUAGCAGGCGAGGUAAUCGAAGGCCUUUUUCAUCUAGCUGCAAAUCAGUCAGAGAUGGAAAAGACCAUCUAUGUUUUGAAUCACUACACGGCAGGAGUGAU